GAAUAAAGACCUGCUGAAAUCUGGAGACCUCAGUCUGACCCUGAAACACCCCACAGAGAGAGACACACAAGUCUACACCUGCACCGUCUACAGCCAAGAGGGAAACAUCGUGUUUAAGAAAGCAGUGGGCAAUCUGAGAGUCAAAGUUCUUACCCUCCCCGACUAAAUCGGUUUCAGUUAUGUACUGAAAUAUAAGAAUGGACAUUAGAGGCUUCUUUCAAAGAAAAAACUCAGCACAAAGAGGGAGAGAGAGGAGCAGAGAUUGAGAUGGAGAAUGAGGACAGAACAGAGAUGAACAAGAGCAGUUUCGGGAAAACACACCUCAACUCCCACAAAGUGAGAAGAAUGCUUCUUGUGCCCGUGAUGAUACAAACAUAUGCUACGGGGUUGCCCUGUGCUGCAUGCAUGGUCUCAUACAAACCUAUGGCUAACCAAAGUAAACACCAGAGUGACAGAUUUUCCCAGCAUGCCCUGGGUGUGGUGGUGGAGGUGAAUGAGGGGGAAAGAUCUGUCCUGCUGCCCUGUCAGUACUUUGGGUUUAUACCUGAGAAUCCCACAGUGAUGUGGACUCGCAGUGAUCUCCAUCCCAAAUCUGUCCAUGUGAGACAAGACGAAACAGACGAUCUCAGAGGACAAAACCAGCGUUACAGUGGGCGCACAUCAAUGAGACCUGAUGCUCUGGACGCUGGAGACUUCAGCCUCACUCUGACAAAACCAACAAAGACUGACAGCAGCAUCUACACCUGCUCCAUCAGUGAUGGGAGAGAAGAACGGAGACUGAGAGAUAUCCAGCUGCAGGUCAAAGCCUUGCCUACUUUACAGUUCUUGGAACCCAUCAACACCAGUGUUCACUUGAUAGACAUAUCACCACACAUUGACGGGCUGAAAAAUGCGAUGGAAGAGUACAAGAGUACGAUAAAAGAGCUCAGUGGCUGUUCAAAAGCUACUGUCGCCGUGGGAGGGCUUAUUGCGACGUUGAUUGUGAUCGUUCUAGGGUUUAUGUAUAUAUGAUCGCCACUUGGCUUGUAUGUGUUUAUGUCAAGUGUGGAAAUAAAAGAAAAUAUAUCAUUGCUUACAUGGCUUUUAUUAGUGCCACUUUAUUAAAACUUUUAUUAAAUGUGGAGUUGUAAUUAUUUUUAUACAUAAAUUUAAAAUGCGCUCAUAAAGAGUUGGCGCUCAGUCCUCUUAAGGUCCUAAGCUUCGUCUGGUGUGAAUGUCCAGACGAUAUAUUGUGUAAGGUGACUUAGAGCGCAAGAAGGCCAAUGCAAGCACGCUUACAGACACAAAUAAGUUCUAGGUCAGAAGUGAGAGAUACAUUUAGCUUGUAACUGCAUUUGUGCUUGCAUAGCAACUGUUGAUGCAGGACGUGUUAAAGAUAAGCAUGAAAAGAACAAGUCAACGAGAAACAUCUGGAGGGUGAGACGGUUGAAACAAACAGCCAUGUAUGGUAAAAAGGUUGCAGAUAAUGGAAACUUGUCUAACUGUCAUUAACUGUAACUGAUGCAUAUUAUCUGCUUUGCUGACGCAAGAAGGGGCUAAACCCUGACAUAUCAAAACCAUUUUGAAGCUUUUUAGCGGAGAUCUACGCUGAUGAUGCUCCCCAUGCGUGUGUUCAAUAAAAUCAUUGUUUGACUGAACUCAUCUGGACCAGUGUCAAUGGAAAAUUGUACUUCGUAGUCAGUAUAAUCUUUUAAUGAUAUAAGUUUGCAUAUAGUAGAAUACUGCAUGUAAUCAUUUGUGUUUAGAAGUAUAUAGCUGGUGGCAUAUUGAAAGAAUGUCUCAUCCUAGGAGGUCUGUAACAUUCCAGGGUGUUCUGGCAUUCACCCCCACAUCCUACGAGCAUGGGAGAGGUCGUACCUUGUCUUAUUGUUUUACGGUAGGAUUAACGUAGCUAUGUCAGUUUUAGUCUAAGUGCCUUUUUACAUAUAGAUGAACUGUUGGACUUUCCAGACCAGCAGGUUAAGGGAAGUCAUUUAUGGGGUCACACUCUGACACACACACACACACACACACACACACACACACACACACACACACACACACACACACACACACACACACCAAUGUAAGGAACAAACGCUCACUGGAGUUUAUAAAUAAAGACCAGGGCAGUCCUCAGUGCGAGUCUCAGUUCUGGAGGCUGCCCUUGCUAGCAAGAAAUUCUGUGUUUCUCUUCUCUGAUUCUCUACUGAAGAAGUAUUUUAGAAUAUAUCUCUUAACAACCAGUUUUUGUUUGUUUUCAUCCUCAAUAUAAAAGAAUCGGGACACAAGGCACACCUUACCGUUUUUUGUUGUGUGUGUCUUGCAUUGUCUGUACGUAUUACUAUUUACUCCUGUGCAUGUCCCUAC
ensembl:lncRNA